rnacentral:rRNA from 1 species
UACGAAGGUGGCUAGCGUUGUUCGGAUUUAUUGGGCGUAAAGGGUCCGCAGGCGGUUUGGAAAGUCAGAUGUGAAAUCCCACAGCUUAACUGUGGACACGCAUUUGAAACUUCCAGCCUAGAGUGUGAGAGGGGUGAAUGGAAUUUCCAGUGUAGGGGUGAAAUCCGUAGAUAUUGGAAAGAACACCGGCCGCGAAGGCGAUUCACUGGCUCAUUACUGACGCUCAGGGACGAAAGCCAGGGGAGCAAACGGG